rnacentral:rRNA from 1 species
GACGAACGCUGGCGGCGUGCUUAACACAUGCAAGUCGAACGGAAAGGCCCUGCUUUUGUGGGGUGCUCGAGUGGCGAACGGGUGAGUAACACGUGAGUAACCUGCCCUUGACUUUGGGAUAACUUCAGGAAACUGGGGCUAAUACCGGAUAGGAGCCCCUGCUGCAUGGUGGGGGUUGGAAAGUUUCGGCGGUUGGGGAUGGACUCGCGGCUUAUCAGCUUGUUGGUGGGGUAGUGGCUUACCAAGGCUUUGACGGGUAGCCGGCCUGAGAGGGUGACCGGCCACAUUGGGACUGCGAUACGGCCCAGACUCCUACGGGAGGCAGCAGUGGGGAGUAUUGCACAAUGGGCGGAAGCCUGAUGCAGCAACGCCGCGUGCGGGAUGACGGCCUUCGGGUUGUAAACCGCUUUCGCCUGUGACGAAGCGUGAGUGACGGUAAUGGGUAAAGAAGCACCGGCUAACUACGUG